rfam:Anaerotruncus sp. CAG:390 genomic scaffold, scf256
AGUAUGCGUUGAAGCGAAAGGUUGCCGCCGAUGUUACCGCAAAGGCGGGUAAUUUUCGUGGAGUAUGUCCGUUUAAACCGGGCGA